UGAAUGGGGCAACCCACUUAGUUGAAGACUAAGUAUCCGAAAGGAGGCAAACGCAGGGAACUGAAACAUCUAAGUACCUGUAGGAGAAGAAAAUAAUAAUGAUUCCCUAAGUAGCGGCGAGCGAACGGGGAGUAGCCCAAACCAAGAAUGUUUCGGCAUUUUUGGGGUUGUAGGACUGUGUUUUGGACUUAAGAUAGAUAGUAGAACUACUUGGAAAGGUAGGCCAUAGAAGGUGAUAGCCCUGUAAACGAAAUCGAUUUUAUACCUAACAGUAUCCUGAGUAGUGCGGGGCACGUGAAACCCUGUAUGAAUCUGCCGGGACGGAAAAGGUAAGGCAAA
rnacentral:rRNA from 1 species